rnacentral:rRNA from 1 species
GUCGUGCGGGUGCUUACCUGCAAGUCGAACGGUGAAGCCAAGCUUGCUUGGUGGAUCAGUGGCGAACGGGUGAGUAACACGUGAGCAACCUGCCCUGGACUCUGGGAUAAGCGCUGGAAACGGCGUCUAAUACUGGAUAUGAGACGUGAUCGCAUGGUCGUGUUUGGAAAGAUUUUUCGGUCUGGGAUGGGCUCGCGGCCUAUCAGCUUGUUGGUGAGGUAAUGGCUCACCAAGGCGUCGACGGGUAGCCGGCCUGAGAGGGUGACCGGCCACACUGGGACUGAGACACGGCCCAGACUCCUACGGGAGGCAGCAGUGGGGAAUAUUGCACAAUGGGCGGAAGCCUGAUGCAGCAACGCCGCGUGAGGGAUGACGGCCUUCGGGUUGUAAACCUCUUUUAGCAGGGAAGAAGCGAAAGUGACGGUACCUGCAGAAAAAGCGCCGGCUAACUACGUGCCAGCAGCCGCGGUAAUACGUAGGGCGCAAGCGUUAUCCGGAAUUAUUGGGCGUAAAGAGCUCGUAGGCGGUUUGUCGCGUCUGCUGUGAAAUCCCGAGGCUCAACCUCGGGCCUGCAGUGGGUACGGGCAGACUAGAGUGCGGUAGGGGAGAUUGGAAUUCCUGGUGUAGCGGUGGAAUGCGCAGAUAUCAGGAGGAACACCGAUGGCGAAGGCAGAUCUCUGGGCCGUAACUGACGCUGAGGAGCGAAAGGGUGGGGAGCAAACAGGCUUAGAUACCCUGGUAGUCCACCCCGUAAACGUUGGGAACUAGUUGUGGGGACCAUUCCACGGUUUCCGUGACGCAGCUAACGCAUUAAGUUCCCCGCCUGGGGAGUACGGCCGCAAGGCUAAAACUCAAAGGAAUUGACGGGGACCCGCACAAGCGGCGGAGCAUGCGGAUUAAUUCGAUGCAACGCGAAGAACCUUACCAAGGCUUGACAUAUACGAGAACGGGCCAGAAAUGGUCAACUCUUUGGACACUCGUAAACAGUGGGUGCAUGGUUGUCGUCAGCUCGUGUCGUGAGAUGUUGGGGUUAAGUCCCGCACGAGCGCACCCCUCGAUUCUAUGGUGCAGCACGUUAUUGGUUGGUACUCAUGGGCAUACUGCCGGGGGUCCAACCUCUCGGAUA